UAAAGCAAAUGAGCUUCAGGCCUCUGACCAC
rnacentral:piRNA from 1 species